GGAAAAGAGUUUUAAUCAGUUGUCCCGCUCAAUGGCGAGCCUACCAAUUCUCCAGUUCGAGGAGAAGAUCGUUGAGACGGUGGAGCAGAACCCCGUUGUGGUGAUCAUCGGAGAAACCGGUUCCGGUAAAAGUACCCAGCUUUCCCAAAUCUUGCACCGCCGGGGCUACACCAAGUCCGGAGUCGUCGCCGUCACCCAGCCCCGCCGAGUCGCCGCGGUCUCCGUCGCCAGGCGAGUUGCCCAAGAGCUUGAUGUAAACCUUGGAGAUGAAGUGGGCUAUGCCAUCAGGUUUGAGGACAGAACUUCGGGAAGAACCAGAAUCAAGUAUCUCACUGAUGGUGUCCUGCUGCGCGAAAGUUUGUCUAACCCGGAGCUCAGCGAAUACUCGGUGAUUAUAUUAGAUGAAGCUCAUGAAAGGAGUUUGAAUACGGACAUAUUGCUGGGCCUGAUGAAGCGAUUAGUCAAGUUGCGUCCAUCCAACUUAAGGGUUCUAAUCACUUCAGCUACCCUCGAUGGCAACAAAGUAUCAAACUUUUUCUCAAAUUGUCCCAUGCUAACUGUCCCAGGGAAGUUAUACCCUGUAGAGAUAUUGUACAGCAAGGAGCGUCCGACGAGCUAUAUUGAAUCUUCUUUAAAAACAGCUAUUGAUAUACAUGUUCGACAACCAGAAGGUGAUGUUCUAAUAUUCAUGACUGGACAGGAUGACAUAGAGAAGUUGGUGUCUAAGUUGGAGGAUAAAAUUCAAACCUUGGAAGAAGGGUCUUGCAUGGAUGCCAUAGUCCUUCCCCUUCAUGGUUCUUUGCCACCUGAAAUGCAGGUGCGCGUUUUUAGUCCUCCUCCUCCAAAUUGUAGGCGAUUCAUUGUGGCCACCAAUAUUGCUGAAACUUCCUUAACCGUCGAUGGAGUUGUGUACGUGAUAGAUUCAGGCUAUGUAAAACAACGUCAAUACAACCCCACCUCUGGAAUGUACUCCCUUGAUGUUGUUCAAAUAAGCAAAGUCCAAGCUGAUCAAAGAGCUGGACGAGCUGGAAGAACACGGCCGGGGAAGUGCUAUCGCUUGUACCCAUCCAAAAUUUAUCAAGAUGAAUUCCUAGAUGCAACAAUUCCUGAAAUUCAGAGAUCUUCUCUUGCUGGCAGUGUUCUUUAUCUGAAGUCUAUGGACCUUCCUGACAUCGAUAUUCUCAAGUUUGACUUUCUCGACCGUCCAUCAUCUGAUUCCUUAGAAGAUGCUUUAAAACAGUUGUACCUCAUUGAUGCAAUUGAUGAAGAAGGAUCAAUUACCAGUAUUGGAAGAGUUAUGGCAGAACUUCCAUUGGAACCAUCACUCUCAAGAACCUUACUGGAGGCUAAUGACUACGGCUGCCUAUCCCAGGCUUUGACUAUUGCUGCCAUGUUAUCUGCGGAGACUUCUCUUCUUCCAGGUCGAAGCAAAAAUACUGAAAAGAAGAGAAAACCUCCUCCAGAUCUUCCUGAUGGUUCUGGAUUAGGUGAUCACAUUCAACUGCUGCAGAUUUAUGAAUACUGGCAUGAAAUGGACUAUGAUAUUGGUUGGUGCAAAGAAAAUGACUUGCAGGUUCGAGGGAUGCGAUUUGUCAGAGAUGUUCGAAAACAGCUGUCUCAGAUAAUGCAGAAAAUAGCGAGAGGAUCUUUAGAUGUGCGGCUAAAUGAAAGCGAGAGAGAGAGGCGGAGAGAUUACAAGAAUUUGAGGAAUGCCUUGUGUGCGGGCUACGCUGGUCAGCUCGCUGAAAGAAUGUCGCUUCAUAAUGGCUAUCGUACUAUGGGAUUCAAAUCUCAACUAGUUCAGUUUUUUAGGUGCAUCCAUCGUCCGUGCUGGGAACAGAUGACCAGGGAAUGUUUCCAGAGUUUGUUGUUUACCAUGAGCUCAUCUCUACCUCUCGACCAUACAUGAGAAAUGUAUGUGCCAUCGAGGGGUCAUGGGUCAUGCCAAUCAUGAAGAAGCUCGGGAACUUGAAUGUUAGUAAGCUCAGUGGAGGGUCAGGUCGCAUUGCUGAUGGGGAGGAAAAAGCUUCGGACUUGCUCGAGCAAAAAAAUGCAGGGACAAUCCAAAAUGAUCAGGAAAGUAGAAUCCAGGCUGCAAGAGAGCGCUUUCUUGCCCGUAAAGCAAACAAAUAAAGUCAUGCAUCGCAUUUCCUUUUGGAGAACAACCCUGAAAUUAAGCCCUUGGGCGUGUCUACUGUCUUUCCGAACUGGCUGGUCUAAUGUGAACAACAGACAAACUCUUCCAUGGGAUUCCAACUGAACAGGCUCUGGGGUGUCUCUGCUCAGCUUUAACAAAAUAUAGUAUCGAGCAACAGCCUCUCGGGGAUCCAUCUACCAUAUAGUAUUCCAUAAGAGAACAAAGUGUAAGGCUCCCGUUAGCAGGAUGAUCAGAAUGAGGCCUUCUUGAAGAGGGAUUUGGUUGCCGGUGAAUCGAAUUUUGUUAGCUGCACACGUCAAUUCAAAUUUGAACUAUUUUGAGUUAUAUUUGUUUGUCGAAAUUCAAUUGUUCGCCGCCUUCUGUC